AAGGAUUAGGAAAGGAGGGAAAGAAGAUGCAGGAGAAGAAGAUGAAAGUAAGAGGAAUGGUGAGUUACUGCCCCCAAUGUGCGAGAGUUGACCAGGCUGAGAAUCAUCAUUUAUUAUUGAUAUGACUCGAAAGUUGAAGGCUAAAUUUUAAGGAAACUCACUCGAUGAUUACUCAGUGAGCAGGUAAGUCUUUUAUUCUUUUGUUAUAUAAUCUGUUGCAUCCGCUACCAUCUACAUUUCUCGUUAUGAUUAAUCAUCAUUACUCAGUUUUUGUUGGAUGAAAUUUGUUGUUUGCUGU